rnacentral:lncRNA from 1 species
AGCCACCCUCCCCCCACAUUGUAAGUUUCAGUUUUCUGUAACAAUUGUUCCUAAUGAUAGAGUUCAGAUAUUAUUGGCCAGAAGCCUACUGGUUUCCUGGAGUUUCUCUUAGGAAUUUGUGACAUUUCAAUGAGACUUUCCAAAUAGUUUAAUAUUCCUAGUCUGUCAGUUUUAAAGACUGGAAGUCAAGCUAGAAAUAAUUUGGAGAGAGAUUGAACCAAUGAUGGUAUCAAACUUUUUUUUCCUUGAUGGGGAGAGCUUUCUAUAAAGAGGGUGAAUGUAAAAGGAUGGAGAUCAAAGACAGAGAUAAUUGAGAAGUGAAAGACUCAAAGGAGGCAAGAGGAAAGCUAUCAGAUCAAGGAAGCAGACAAAGGGGUUGCUACAAAAAGUGUCUCCUCCUUAGAGACUGGCUAGGUAUGAUGGGUGCUUCAUACAUGGGUACAGUGGCUCUGAAACAGGCAAGAGACAUAAUAAGGAAGUGAUAGGUGGCCUAUACUAUGAACUAGUAGAUUCCUAGUUAACUUUUCCUUUGGGAUGUGACUGUGUGUGCUAAACUAAUGUUUCAUGUACCAGCUCACAUCCUUUUAAGAGUGUCCUUUCUCUUUGAUUUUCAUUUAGACUUAUAUGACCUGAAAAGAGUUCAUGUAGUCAUUGAAGAAUCAAAAUGACAAAAACAUUCAUCUCAUCAGAAGGGUGCCAACAUUUCAUUAAAAUAGUCUCAUUAUUUA